rnacentral:rRNA from 1 species
UUGGAGGGCAAGUCUGGUGCCAGCAGCCGCGGUAAUUCCAGCUCCAAUAGCGUAUAUUAAAGUUGUUGCAGUUAAAAAGCUCGUAGUUGAAUUUCGGGAUUGACGUGACGGUCGUGCCUUAAGGGGUAUGAACUGUCGCUGUUGAUUUCUCACCUUCUGGAGAAUCUCGAUGCCCUUUAUUGGGUGUCUUGUGGAUCCAGGACCUUUACCUUGAAAAAAUUAGAGUGUUUAAAGCAGGCAUUUUUGCUCGAAUACAUUAGCAUGGAAUAAUAGAAUAGGACGGCUUGGUUCUAUUUUGUUGGUUUCUAGGAUCACCGUAAUGAUUAAUAGGGAUAGUUGGGGGCAUUAGUAUUCAAUUGUCAGAAGUGAAAUUCUUGGAUUUAUUGAAGACUAACUACUGCGAAAGCAUUUGCCAAGGAUGUUUUCAUUAAUCAAGAACGAAAGUUAGGGGAUCGAAGACGAUCAGAUACCGUCGUAGUCUUAACCAUAAACUAUGCCGACUAGGAAUCAGACGAUGUUAAUUUUUUAAUGACUCGUUUGGCACCUUAUGGGAAACCAAAG